rnacentral:rRNA from 1 species
GACGAACGCUGGCGGCGUGCUUAACACAUGCAAGUCGAACGGAAGGGCCCUGCUUUUGUGGGGUGCUCGAGUGGCGAACGGGUGAGUAACACGUGAGUAACCUGGCCUUGACUUUGGGAUAACUUCAGGAAACUGGGGCUACUACCGGAUAGGAGCUCCUGCUGCAUGGUGGGGGUUGGAAAGUUUCGGCGGUUGGGGAUGGACUCGCGGCUAAUCAGCUUGUUGGUUGGGGAGUUGCUUACCCAGGCUUUGACGGAUAGUCGGCCUGAGAGGGGGACCGGGCACAAUGGGACUGAGAUACGGCGCAGACUCCUACGGGAGGCAGCAGUGGGGAAUAUUGCACAAUGGGCGGAAGCCUGAUGCAGAGACGCCGCGUGCGGGAUGACGGCCUUCGGGUUGUAAACCGCUUUCGCCUGUGACGAAGCGUGAGUGACGGUAAUGGGUAAAGAAGCACCGGCUAACUACGUG